rnacentral:rRNA from 1 species
AUGCAUGCAACGCACAGUGCUCUCUCCUGUCCUGCAUGCUAUCGUUGUGGUGAGAAAAGAUGGAGAGGCUCACUGGGGUCGAGCUCGGAGCUGACGAGCUCGAGCAGCAGCGUCUUGCCGAAGAGGUCCUGGAUGUCGUCGAGGCCCCGGGCGACGUACACGGAGGUCGGCGCCUGCGCGGUCACGACGGCCGUCACCGUCAGCGACCUCUCCUUGGUCGUCAUGGACGUCGAGACGCCGACGGCCUCCUCGGUCGACGCGCAGCUUAUCCUGCGCGCCGUGAGCCGGCGCCCAGAGCGGCUCCUCCCGGCGCCGGACGCCCGCCUCUGCUGGCCGCUCGCGGCCGCCGCCGUGGCGAAGAGCGGUGGCGAGGCAACAUUGCUGCUCUGCGCGGAGAGCACCAGCGGCUGCUUCAGAUGGAUCAUGGCUGGCGCGGGCAGGGCUAGCUAG